rnacentral:rRNA from 1 species
UACGUAGGGAGCAAGCGUUGUCCGGAAUCAUUGGGCGUAAAGCGCGCGUAGGUGGCUUCGUAAGUCCGUUGUGAAAGUCAAAGGCUCAACCUUUGAAAGCCGAUGGAUACUGUGAAGCUAGAGUACGGAAGAGGCGAGUGGAAUUCCCGGUGUAGCGGUGAAAUGCGCAGAUAUCGGGAGGAACACCUAUGGCGAAGGCAGCUCGCUGGGACGUUACUGACGCUGAGACGCGAAAGCGUGGGGAGCAAACAGG